GCCUAACCGUAAAAUAUUAACUCACACCCAUCAACGCCCGGGUACUACGAGCCCCAGCUUAAAACCCAAAGGACUUGACGGUGUCCCAUCCACCUAGAGGAGCCUGUUCUAUAAUCGAUAAUCCCCGCUAAACCCAACCUCCUCUUGCAAUCAGUCUGUAUACCUCCGUCGUAAGCUUACCAUAUGAAUGACCCCAGUAAGCUAAAUGAUUAUAACACCCCAAUACGUCAGGUCAAGGUGCAGCUCAUGAGAAGGCAAGCAAUGGGCUACAAUUUCUAAUCUAGAACAAACGAAACACUGCAUGAAACUCAGCUGUGAAGGCGGAUUUAGUAGUAAAAAGAAAAUAGCGUGUUCUUUUUAACUAGGCCCUGGGACGUGUACACACCGCCCGUCGCCCUCUUCAAUAGUUACAUUAUAGAUUUAUAACAACUCACUACGCCUUAGAAGAGGUAAGUCGUAACAUGGUAAGUGUACCGGAAGGUGUACUUGGAUCAA
rnacentral:rRNA from 1 species